GGGGGCGCCCCGCGAGUUUGGCGCAUCCAAACCCAAUGUGAACGUUACCAAACUGUUGCCUCGGCGGGAUCUCUGCCCCGGGUGCGUCGCAGCCCCGGACCAAGGCGCCCGCCGGAGGACCAACCAAAACUCUUAUUGUAUACCCCCUCGCGGGUUUUUUUAUAAUCUGAGCCUUCUCGGCGCCUCUCGUAGGCGUUUCGAAAAUGAAUCAAAACUUUCAACAACGGAUCUCUUGGUUCUGGCAUCGAUGAAGAACGCAGCGAAAUGCGAUAAGUAAUGUGAAUUGCAGAAUUCAGUGAAUCAUCGAAUCUUUGAACGCACAUUGCGCCCGCCAGUAUUCUGGCGGGCAUGCCUGUCCGAGCGUCAUUUCAACCCUCGAACCCCUCCGGGGGGUCGGCGUUGGGGAUCGGCCCUGCCUUGGCGGUGGCCGUCUCCGAAAUACAGUGGCGGUCUCGCCGCAGCCUCUCCUGCGCAGUAGUUUGCACACUCGCAUCGGGAGCGCGGCGCGUCCACAGCCGUUAAACACCCAACUUCUGAAAUGUUGACCUCGGAUCAGGUAGGAAUACCCGCUGAACUUAAGCAUAUCAAUAAGCCGGAAGGAA
rnacentral:rRNA from 1 species